rnacentral:rRNA from 1 species
UUCCGGUUGAUCCUGCCGGAGGCCAUUGCUAUCGGAGUCCGAUUUAGCCAUGCUAGUCGUGCGAGUUCAGACUCGCGGCACCGAGCUCAGUAACACGUGGCCAAACUACCCUACAGAGACGGAUACCCUCGGGAAACUGAGGUUAACCCGUCAUACCGAUCUCAGGCUUGAAUCGCAGAGAUCACAAAAUGCCCCGGCGCUGUAGGAUGUGGCUGCGGUUGAUUAGGUAGACGGUGGGGUAACGGCCCACCGUGCCCAUAAUCAGUACAGGUUGUGAGAGCAAGAACCUGGAGACGGAAUCUGAGACAAGAUUCCGGGCCCUACGGGGCGCAGCAGGCGCGAAACCUUUACACUGCACGCACGUGCGAUAAGGGGACUCCGAGUGCGAGGGCAUAUCGUCCUCGCUUUCGUGUACCGUAGGGUGGUACACCAACAAGGGCUGGGCAAGACCGGCGCCAGCCGCCGCGGUAAUACCGGCAGCCCGAGUGAUGGCCGAUCUUAUUGGGCCUAAAGCGUCCGUAGCUGGCUACGCAAGUCCGUCGGGAAAUCCACUCGCCCAACGAGUGGGCGUCCGACGGAAACUGCAUAGCUUGGGACCGGAAGGCUCGAAGGGUACGUUCGGGGUAGGAGUGAAAUCCCAUAAUCCCGCACGGACCACCGAUGGCGAAAGCACUUCGAGAAAACGGAUCCGACAGUGAGGGACGAAAGCCAGGGUCUCCAACCGGAUUAGAUACCCGGGUAGUCCUGGCCGUAAACAAUGUUCGCUAGGUAUGACACAGACUACGCGUCUCUGUUGUGCCGUAGGGAAGCCGAGAAGCGAACCGCCUGGGAAGUACGUCUGCAAGGAUGAAACUUAAAGGAAUUGGCGGGGGAGCACUACAACCGGAGGAGCCUGCGGUUUAAUUGGAGU